UACAGAGGUCCCGAGCGUUGUUCGGAUUCACUGGGCGUAGAGGGUGCGUAGGUGGUGAGGUAAGUCGGAUGUGAAAGCUCGGAGCUCAACUCCGAAAUGGCAUUGGAAACUACCUUGCUAGAGGGUUGGAGGGGGGACUGGAAUGCUUGGUGUAGCAGUGAAAUGCGUAGAUAUCAAGCGGAACACCAGUGGCGAAGGCGAGUCCCUGGACAACUCCUGACACUGAGGCACGAAAGCUAGGGGAGCAAACAGG
rnacentral:rRNA from 1 species